UCGUGUGCGAAUCGCGUCGUCGUUAGUUGUUUCCUGUUCUCCAGUACUGAAGCUUUCCCCGGUCGAAGAAGAUGGCAUCCAAAGUACCGCUCGUAAAGCUAAACAAUGGCCAAUCGAUACCGAUUCUCGGUCUCGGAACGUGGGGCUCUCCACCGGGAGAAGUAGCACAAGCAGUCAAGGAUGCAAUCGACAUCGGUUAUCGUCACAUUGAUGGCGCCCAUGUUUACCAGAACGAGCACGAAGUAGGCGAGGGUGUCAACGCUAAGAUCAAGGAAGGCGUUGUCAAGCGUGAGGAUCUGUUUAUCACUAGUAAACUGUGGAACACGUUCCACCGACCGGAGCUGGUCGAGGGAGCCUGCCGAACGACGCUGAAAAAUCUCGGUUUGAGCUACGUAGAUCUGUACCUGAUCCAUUGGCCGAUGGGAUACAAGGAAGGCGACCAGCUGUUCCCUACUGAUGAAAACGGGAAAACGGCCUAUUCCGAUGUUGACUUUGUAGAUACGUACAAAGCGAUGGAAAAACUAGUCGAGCUGGGCUUGGCGAAGAGUAUUGGCAUUUCGAACUGCAACUCUAAACAGGUGGAGCGCAUUCUUGCCAUUGCCAAGAUCAAGCCGGUCGUAAAUCAGAUCGAAUGCCAUCCCUACCUAGCGCAAACCAAGCUAUCGCCUUUCUGUACUAGCCGAGGUAUCGUAAUCACGGCGUACAGCCCGCUGGGAUCACCGAACCGUCCCUGGGCUAAGCCCGACGAUCCCCAAUUGAUGGAGGAUCCUAAGAUCGUGACCAUCGCUAAGAAAUACGGCAAAACUUCGGCCCAGAUUCUGAUUCGCUACCAGAUUCAGCGAGGCCAUGUCGUUAUUCCGAAAUCGGUCAACAAAUCUCGCAUUCAAUCCAACUUUGAAGUGUUUGAUUUUGAGCUAACCGAAGAUGAUAUAAAACUGAUAACGUCGUUCGACUGCAACGGACGUCUGGUGCCUAUUUCGAGCGCUGAUACAAGUCCACACUACCCGUUUCAUGAAGAUUUCUAAGACCGUAUAGAAGAGCAAAACGGCAGCCGCCUCGAAGCACGUGAAUAUUGAUUCUUGUUCCACUGACUGAUUUGUUACUUGAAUCCAUGCUCGCUUAUCUUCCCUGCUGCUGGUCAUCCUUACCAUCCGUUCGAAAAUGACGAGUUUUAAAUAUUGGACUAGACAUCUAUCGUAAUCACCAACUCCUGAGAAUACUGGAUAUGAUUCAUAUUAUCACUAUAAUACUGCAUUUAUGAUUGAGUAUGUCCUACAAAAACCAUACUCACAUACGCACAUGCACAUAAUUGGUAGUGAAACCGUGCGUGCACCUAAUUCAAGUAUAUGUACUACAAUGCUUUAAAUAAAUGUUAAAACAUUCCUUUGA